CUCUGACGAAGCCGUAGACGGGGAAUUGAAGAGAGGGCGCCACCACGAGCCGUUUCCUUAAUUGUCCUUUCAUCACGUCGGGGAGGCGAUGAUAACUUAUAAUGCGAGUGGGACCCCCGGACCCCCCCGACUCCCGGAAAGACCCUGCGUUUGUGUUUUGUCUACAGCCGCUCCAACCUCUCCUUGUUUGUGUGCUCGUGCUACCACGUGUUUCGACUGAGCGGUGGGUUUAAUCCAGGACCUCUGAGACCAGAACCGUGACGAUGGAGGGGGAUCUCUUCGCUUGGCUCUCAGCGAGGUCACACCAGAAAGGAUGUCUUCUCUUCUCCUCACAUGGAAAUGUGGGCGGUGCCGUUAAAGAGACCUUGGAGGCAGCAAAUGUGACACCCUUGCAGUGACGCCCCAUGAAGGACACCACAGAUU
ensembl:lncRNA